ACCACUCCACCAGUUUUAGCCUUAGGGACUGGUCCUAUAUAAAGAGCUAUUUAGAUCACUAUGUUGAUUUUUAAGUGUAAUUUAACUGUCUUGGGGUUUGAACAUUUAUGACACCUCUCCCCGCAACACUUUGUCCUGACUGUCCAGAAAAGAAAAUGGUAAUUGCCAUCUCAACACAUUGGGGUAGUGGAGAGCAGCCAACAAUUAAAAAGUAAUGGGGACUGGGAGUGAUCUGUGCCCCACUGCUCCAUAGCGAAUGCAGGAGACACUCCAACAUCCUGGUUAUGUGUCUUGCAUGAAUACAACAGUUCCAAGAAUGAAGAGCAGUGGCAUGCCACCGGCAGGAGGCUUUUCUCCUCCAAACCAGCUCUGCAUCUUGUGAGUUCGGACAAUAACAGGCCAUAAAGCAGUAUUGCAAGUACCUUACAAAUACAGUAUCUGAAAAACAACAUCUCCAUGACAUCACAGGGAUGUGCCCACCUCAAAGGAAGAUAAAAACAGAAAGACAAAAGAAAGCCAGGGAAGAGCAGAAGAAAGUCCACAUGGUGCUGAGAGAGAGAGAAGAGCAUGAAACAAAGGCAUAUUCAAAUGCCACCUACAACAACAGUGGAAAUAAAAGGAGAGAGAGAUGUGGUCUGACCAGAAUUGGGGCCCAUUGAUGUAAAUGGAAUUUAACCACAUGCUUGGUGAUGUAGUGAAGAUGACAAAUGGUCCGUUGUUAAUCUGUGACUCUGGAGGCCCGGGGUCAAUGCCCUGCUCUGCACAGAUUUCCUGCAUGAUCCUGGGCAAAUCAAGGCCAGGUUAUUAACUGUAUUUACGUAUUGCUUCAUCCAGCUUUGCAAGGCCUUAAUGAUUUAGGAGCCUUAGGGCACAUCUACACAGCAAUCAAGGAUGCAAUUUGCAGCUCAUGUAGACAUACCCCUGCUUGUUUUAAUCUGGUCAGUCCACUAAAUAUAGCAGUGAGGCUCAGACUAGCAAUGUGACCAUGUAUCCAGGGAGCUAGGCAGACUUGUACAGUCCACAUUGAAUUACACACACACACAGAGCUAUUUUUAGCAUGCUAGCAAGAUUAAAGCUAGUAUGGUACACCUACAUACACUGCAAAUUAUACCCUAAAAUCACAGCAUAGGUAGCAUAGGUGUACCCUAUAUCUCAUUUUCAAAAGUGUUUCAGGCACGCCAGAACCUAAGUCCCACUGACUUUCAAUGACGGUUGAAUUAGGGCCUGGGAGCCUGAAACCUCACCACAGCCUUCCUGGGUGAUCUUGGGCAAGUCACUUAUUCCAACAGUUUCAAACCUGCGUGCCUAAAAUACAGGGAUCUAAACCCAUAUUUAGCUACCUUAAAAAAACGACUGAUUUUCAUAGGUAUUUAGCAGCCCCAACUCCUAUUGGAAAAAGGUGGAAGGCCAAUGAGGGGGAUGCAACUUCUCAGAAUGCUCAGCCCUUCUGAAAAUCUCAUCACGUCAGAUAGAAGCCUAUAUAUGGAUUUAGAUGGCUAACUCUAGGCAUCAAAGUAAAAACGGGGGCCUUCUUGGCUCAGAAUCCCCCUCUGUAAAAGGUGGUUCAUAAUAGCUACAUAUCUCACAGGGAUGUUCUCAGGAUUAAUUAGCUAAUGGACCAGCUUGGCAAAAGGCCCCAAAGGAGGAAGAAUUCACUCACGCUCCAUCGUGUCACAAGGCACCUGUAAGGUUGCAAUCUCUACUCAUGGUGGGAUCUUAGAGGCAGCAGUGUUGCCCGAAGAGUAAAUAGUGCUAGAUCUUAUGGCUAAGGCAUUGAGCUAUGUCCUGAUUCAGAGUAUCCUUGCUGAAGCCUCCACAUGUGAAGCCACAGCUGGAGCUACCAGCACAGACUGAAACUGCCCCAUCUCAGCAGAGCCGUGGGCAAAGGGAUGAUAAAGGGGAUGUCCAUUUUGACAUUACAGCCCACAGAGAGCACCAGUGACGAGAAGAAAUAGGGGAUACAGUUUCUUCAUGAUGACAGAGCCACCCCACCCUUCAGAGAUAGCUUCCUCUUGCCUCCUUCUUUGUCCUGGUCCUGAGCUUUUAGAGAUAUUUCUCUAUCAUGCCCCUAGUUGUCAAGAGGCCCAGUCCAUGGGAUAGAAUUCCUGAAGACUGACAGACCAACAAUUCAGAAAUCUCUCACUUGGUCUUAGAUGAAUUUUGGUAGCAACUAGUUAGCUUUAAAGUUAUAAGAACUUCAUUUGUGCUUUCAUUUUAAACUAAGUAUUAUGUCUUUAUUAGAACAUCUCAGUGAUUCUAAUUAUGUUCUACAUGGGAAUACUUUUUAUAAGUGAUACUCUAAAAAGCUAUA